UACGAAGGUGGCAAGCGUUGUUCGGAUUUACUGGGCGUACAGGGUGCGUAGGCGGUUGGAUAAGCCCUCCGUGAAAUCUCCAGGCUUAACCUGGAAAGUGCAGAGGGGACUGUUCAGCUAGAGGAUGGGAGAGGAGCGCGGAAUUCCCGGUGUAGCGGUGAAAUGCGUAGAGAUCGGGAGGAAGGCCGGUGGCGAAGGCGGCGCUCUGGAACAUUUCUGACGCUGAGGCUCGAAAGCGUGGGGAGCAAACAGG
rnacentral:rRNA from 1 species